rnacentral:misc_RNA from 1 species
CUACGGAGUACAACGACUUUUCAAUAGUAAAAGUCCAACGACAUACAAGAAUGACUAUUUUAAUUUUAUAAACCGUCAUGUGCUUUUGUUAAUAGUCCAAAAGUGUAUAUCUAGUUUUGAGGGAACAUAAAUCUCUCAUGUUCUUUGAAAACUGAAUAGUUAAUUAAAAUAUUUUAAUAUAACAACGACAUCAAAAUAAGUAAAUAAAGAUAAUAAAGUCUUAUUUGUUUUGAAAACCGAGUUAAUUAUUGAAUGAUACAUUUAAUAAUUCAUUAAAAUGUCUUAAAAUACAUCAACAAUAGGUAAAUAUUGUA